GAUAAAGUGGCUGAAGAUUUAGGCAAUAAAUUGUAAAUUUAUAAAUGGUUAAUUAACCCUUUAUCA
rnacentral:tRNA from 1 species